AUUGAACGCUGGCGGCAGGCCUAACACAUGCAAGUCGAACGAGUGGCGGACGGGUGAGUAAUGCAUGGACAACUGCCUGAUGGAGGGGGAUAACUACUGGAAACGGUAGCUAAUACCGCAUACCAUCGGAUGUGCCCAGAUGGGAUUAGCUAGUGGGUGGGGUAAAGGCUCACCAAGGCGACGAUACCUAGCUGGUCUGAGAGGAUGACCAGGCAGAGUGGAACGGGGACACGGUCCAGACGCCUCCGGGAGGCAGCAGUGGGAAAUAUUGCACAAUGGGCGAAAGCCGGAUGCAGCAAUGCCGCGUGUAUGACGAAGGCCUUCGGGUUUUAAAGUACUUUCAGCGGGGAGGCGUUACCCGCAGAAGAAGCACCGGCUAACUCCGUGCCAGCAGCCGCGGUAAUUC
rnacentral:rRNA from 1 species